rnacentral:lncRNA from 1 species
CAAAACUCAAGCGGAACAACAUAAUAUCCAACACUAAAAUAAUUGUCCAACAAAUUACACUUGAACAAAAUGAAUGAUUUUUUUGGAAUUAUCAUACACAUUUUGUAAAGGACUGAUAACAUUUCUCUCAUUUAUUUAGCAACCCAUACAUCUAUAUAUAUAAAAAGCAAAUGCGUCCACUUUGUUUAUCUGUUCGCUUGAAUUCAAAUGGUCCCAUCAUGAUGCGGUAAAUAUGGAUAGCUGUAUGGUAUUGCAUGACCUAACGUGCAAAUUACAAUUAAUGAACGAAGAGGAAGUAUUCAAAUUCAAAUGUUGUUAUUUAAAAAUUUAUGUUCGUUGUGAAUUGAAAAUAACAUUUGUGGUCAUAGAAGGGAUCAAAGAAGAAGACGGGACUCGUGUGUACACGUGUGACUCAUCCCGUCGACCUAUAUCAAUUCACAGGCGUUAAGACAACGUAAAGUGCUUACGACACGCUAUAAUUAAUAGACUAACGAAUAGGAGUUGCAAAUAUGAGAAUGGCAUCGGCAUGGAAUGUUGUUGUUGAGGAGGAGGUGGAACCUCGGGUACACCAUCGUCCAUACCACUAUGUCUCGAUGUUGGUCUCUUUACUUUGGUUCGAUCCGAUCGUGCCUACAUGUACACUAUAACAUGUAAAAUAAAGUAAAGAAAAGAGUAUGACUGUGACAUAAGAAUAUACUUUUGAUUUCUUAGCCCUCACCUCCAAUGGGCCUUUUAUUUGUUUUCUCUUUAGUUCCCCUUUUGUCUUCAAUGAUUUCGGAUCCUUGAUGCUCCCGCUCACAGAAUCUUGAGGGGACAGUAUACUGCGAUAUAGUAUUACUACCUAAACUUGGUUUCCCCAAACUAAGCUCUUUAUUUUGAAUUUCUAUCCAAUCCAUGAUCGCACGAUAUCGCCUUUCAUCAUCAGCUGCAAGGUCUGUCACCUUGGCGAAUGCCUGACACAUGUCAUCUUACCUCAAUUGUCCUAGAGUACUAACCAAUCCAUCAUAAUUAACUGCGACUUUCGUGUGUGCUCUGUUGAUGUCUCUCCUCCAUCUCCGCAAUAUAUAUUGAUCCGGCAUUAUAGUUAUGUCAUUACGAACCAACAUUGCGAGCGCAUUCCUGCAUACUAUUCCUUGGAACUCGAACAAGUUACAAUUACAAAUAAUCUCACAUUUCUCUGCAUUGAAUAAGGCUAGAAACAUUUUUUUCCCUUUUAUCAAUCGCCCAAUAAAACUUCUUCAUACACCUCAUACGUCGUCCCCAUAUGUCUAUCUGAAGCGGAUAUAAGAUCACAAUAAGCCGUCCUUGUAAAUUCACCUUGAACUUCUUUGAACUUCGAAAUGGUGUACACUUUUUGAUAUUAUUUUUCCAUUUCAUAAGUUGUUGCACAUGGUACUAUCUGAGAGAAAGACUUGAAAUCAGCCUGAAAUUCCUUCUCAACCUUAUUCGACAAUGCUCGUUCGUACUGUUCAACAAAUUGUUUCAAUGAUGUCUUAGAAUGCACAUAACCAUCGAAGACAGUGUUUACACUCACUUCUUUGCGUCAUUGACAUCCUAGCCCAGAAAGUUGUUUUCAAGAAACACGGACCCAGUGACCUCUAUUAUCAUACAAUCUUAACAACCAAUCGUUAUCAUGCAAGUCAUUUGUACUAAUCACCAAUUUCCAACCAUUCUCUAAUUCUUCGACGAACUGUGAAUCAUACACCAAAGUGUGUAUAGCCGAAAAUAUUGAAGACUUAUCUACAUGGUAUCCAAACUUUUCUGGAAACUUUUUCAAAAUAUCCCACAAGCAUCAUGUAUGCUUCGUGUUCGGAAAGACUAUCUGAAUUGCAUUAUGCAUGCCCCUAUUUCAUCAGUCAUUAUUUCGUGCGGAGCUUGAUCAUGCAUGAACUGAAACCAUGACCUGAACAAUCAUACAAAUGUAUCCAUGUCCUCGUUUGAUACCAAACCACAAACCAGCAACGUCGAUUAUCCAUGAUGAUUCACGCUAACAAAAGGAGUGAACGAUAUAUUGUACUUAUUAGUAAGGUAAGUAGUAUCAAAUGUGACAAUAUCCCCAAACUCAUUGUAUGCUUGCCUACAUUGAUUGUUUGCCCAGAACAGAUUCUUCAGACGCGAAUCGUCAUCUAAGUCAAUACUAAAAUAAAAUCCCGAGCAUUAUGCUUGCAUUUUAGAAAAGUAAGACUAAAUUGCUGUUGCAUCACCCUUGCCAAGUCUUAGUUGUCUCAUUUGUUCAAUAUAGUUCCGACAAUCAUUUUCCAUGCAAGUCAUAUUCUCAUAGCCUCUAGCUUCAAUAACUGCGGAGUUAAAACUUUUGUGGAAUGAUAUACCUGUCAUAUCGGUCACUUCAAGCUUUCGUUUUACAUGUGCACUUAAUUCUUUGUUAAAUCGAUACAACCUGGACUUAGUAGGACUUGUCUUAUGGUUGUGGUCAAGGUGGACUUUGUUAAUUUUCUAGUAACAAUGAAUAUUGAAAGAUGCAAAGAUUUUAGCUUUACAACUUGUCUGAAUUGUUGGUUAUGGCUUUAUAGAAGUGCUUGUAUUAUCGUUUUUUCGUCAUUCCUGACUACAUGUCAACGUGACAUAUCUUAAAACACCAUAAUCAUCCUUCGUCGAACUCCUCUUCCUAAUUGGAAAACCCACUGUAUAUGCAUAUCUUGCAUAAAAAUCAUACACUUCUUUUUUAUUCUUAAAUUGCAUACCAACCUCAGCACAAUAUGAUCAUCUCUUCAUAUAGUUUCCUCUUUCAUAACAUUUACAUUGCCUUCCACAUUCUCAUUUUCAUAUUCAACGAACAAAUCAUCUUCCACAUUCUUGCCUUCUUCAAAACGUAAAUACUAUAUGUCAUCAACUGAUAUUAAACUAUGAUUAAACAUAUAACUCAUUUUAGUGGAUAUGUGUACCGAUCUUCCAAAACUUUCAUCACCGAAUAUAUUAGGGCAGAAGUCCAGUAUAUUUGGUUAACUAAAAUGUACAAAUGAACGAACUAAUUAAAAAGGAAAUCUUACAAUUCUGCACAAAAAAAAAAAAAAAAGAAUCAAUUUCAAUAGUGUUUUGAAUUUCUUAUACUUCAUAAAUAAAUUAAUUGAUGCAAAAAUCCAAUUUCCCAGUAAGAUUUCAAAAUUUUAAAAUGCAAUUAGUUCCAUUUCUCAAACACCAACAAAAUCUAACAGCUCAACUCAAACCAAGAAAUUCCAACCUACAAAACAAAAGUAUCCAUACCUUCUUAUGUGACGAUCGAGUGUUGCCGAAGAUGGAGAAGAUAGCUGAAUAAGAUAAGUUUGAGUGGAGAAGAUAGACCGGAGGUGCGAGCUUGGACACGGCGUUGAUGUUGGGUCUCUUGCUAGCU